rnacentral:rRNA from 1 species
UGCAGUCGAGCGGAUGAAGGGAGCUUGCUCCUGGAUUCAGCGGCGGACGGGUGAGUAAUGCCUAGGAAUCUGCCUGGUAGUGGGGGAUAACGUCCGGAAACGGGCGCUAAUACCGCAUACGUCCUGAGGGAGAAAGUGGGGGAUCUUCGGACCUCACGCUAUCAGAUGAGCCUAGGUCGGAUUAGCUAGUUGGUGGGGUAAAGGCCUACCAAGGCGACGAUCCGUAACUGGUCUGAGAGGAUGAUCAGUCACACUGGAACUGAGACACGGUCCAGACUCCUACGGGAGGCAGCAGUGGGGAAUAUUGGACAAUGGGCGAAAGCCUGAUCCAGCCAUGCCGCGUGUGUGAAGAAGGUCUUCGGAUUGUAAAGCACUUUAAGUUGGGAGGAAGGGCAGUAAGUUAAUACCUUGCUGUUUUGACGUUACCAACAGAAUAAGCACCGGCUAACUUCGUGCCAGCAGCCGCGGUAAUACGAAGGGUGCAAGCGUUAAUCGGAAUUACUGGGCGUAAAGCGCGCGUAGGUGGUUCAGCAAGUUGGAUGUGAAAUCCCCGGGCUCAACCUGGGAACUGCAUCCAAAACUACUGAGCUAGAGUACGGUAGAGGGUGGUGGAAUUUCCUGUGUAGCGGUGAAAUGCGUAGAUAUAGGAAGGAACACCAGUGGCGAAGGCGACCACCUGGACUGAUACUGACACUGAGGUGCGAAAGCGUGGGGAGCAAACAGGAUUAGAUACCCUGGUAGUCCACGCCGUAAACGAUGUCGACUAGCCGUUGGGAUCCUUGAGAUCUUAGUGGCGCAGCUAACGCGAUAAGUCGACCGCCUGGGGAGUACGGCCGCAAGGUUAAACUCAAUGAAUUGACGGGG